UGGAUUAGUGGCGAACGGGUGAGUAACACGUGAGUAACCUGCCCUUGACUCUGGGAUAAGCACUGGAAACGGUGUCUAAUACCGGAUAUUUCAGCUGGCCGCAUGGUCUGGUUGUGGAAAGAAUUUUGGUCAAGGAUGGACUCGCGGCCUAUCAGGUUGUUGGUGAGGUAAUGGCUCACCAAGCCUACGACGGGUAGCCGGCCUGAGAGGGUGACCGGCCACACUGGGACUGAGACACGGCCCAGACUCCUACGGGAGGCAGCAGUGGGGAAUAUUGCACAAUGGGCGAAAGCCUGAUGCAGCAACGCCGCGUGAGGGACGACGGCCUUCGGGUUGUAAACCUCUUUUAGUAGGGAAGAAGCGAAAGUGACGGUACCUGCAGAAAAAGCACCGGCUAACUACGUGCCAGCAGCCGCGGUAAUACGUAGGGUGCAAGCGUUGUCCGGAAUUAUUGGGCGUAAAGAGCUCGUAGGCGGUUUGUCGCGUCUGCUGUGAAAACUGGAGGCUCAACCUCCAGCCUGCAGUGGGUACGGGCAGACUAGAGUGCGGUAGGGGAGAUUGGAAUUCCUGGUGUAGCGGUGGAAUGCGCAGAUAUCAGGAGGAACACCGAUGGCGAAGGCAGAUCUCUGGGCCGUAACUGACGCUGAGGAGCGAAAGCAUGGGGAGCGAACAGGAUUAGAUACCCUGGUAGUCCAUGCCGUAAACGUUGGGAACUAGAUGUGGGGGCCAUUCCACGGUCUCCGUGUCGCAGCUAACGCAUUAAGUUCCCCGCCUGGGGAGUACGGCCGCAAGGCUAAAACUCAAAGGAUUGACGG
rnacentral:rRNA from 1 species